GUGUCCGUGGUGUAAUGGUAGCAUGCUGGUUUCCAACUCCAGUGAUUCGGGUUCAAGUCCUGACGGGCAUGCCA
rnacentral:tRNA from 1 species